AUUGAACGCUGGCGGCAGGCCUAACACAUGCAAGUCGAGCGAGCGGCGGACGGGUGAGUAAUGUAUGGGGACUGCCCGAUAGAGGGGGAUAACUACUGGAAACGGUAGCUAAUACCGCAUACUAUCGGAUAACCCAUAUGGGAUUAGCUAGUUGGUGAGGUAAUGGCUCACCAAGGCGACGCUCCCUAGCUGGGCUGAGCGGCUGAUCAGCCACACUGGGACUGAGACACGGCCCAGACUCCGACGGAGGCAGCAGUGGGGAAUAUUGCCCAAUGGGCGCAAGCCUGAUGCAGCGAUGCCGCGUGUAUGAAGAAGGCCGUAGGGUUGUAAACCUCUUUAGCUAUCGAACGGGUAGGUGGAGAAGAAGCGCCGGCUAACUACGUGCCAGCAGCCGCGGUAAUAC
rnacentral:rRNA from 1 species